UACGUGAGGGUGCGAGCGUUGUCCGGAAUUAUUGGGCGUAAAAGGGCUCGUAGGCGGUUUGUCGCGUCGGGAGUGAAAACUCAAGGGCUUAACCCUGAGCCUGCUUCCGAUACGGGCAGACUAGAGGUAUGCAGGGGAGAACGGAAUUCCUGGUGUAGCGGUGAAAUGCGCAGAUAUCAGGAGGAACACCGGUGGCGAAGGCGGUUCUCUGGGCAUUACCUGACGCUGAGGAGCGAAAGUGUGGGGAGCGAACAGG
rnacentral:rRNA from 1 species